AGCAAGCUGAGGGUGGCCUCUGGGUACCUGGCUGUCGCUUUUUCUCCCGCCACUGGCUGCAGACACUGGCAACUGGAAAGUUAAAGCAUUUAAGACUGGAUCCUACCUAAGGAGCCACUGAGUGCCAGUCCUUCCUUUGACAAGAAAUACCCCCAUCCAGACUUGUGGCCCUUAUACAUUAUGCCCUCACAGGGGGACAGAGCAGAAGCAGAAGGCGCCAGCAAGAGGCACCACUCUGAACAGAAGUGCCUGCGGGAAGGAGAGAAGAGACAAGUGGUGCUGGCUGCUGCUUCAAAGAGGGGCAGGGGCUUUCCCUUCCGGAGAUCAAAACCAAGUUAGAAGGCAUGGAAGCAGCUCCCCCUCCCCACCACCUCCUAACAGAGAGGAGACUAAAAGAGGUAACACAGAAGAGGCCAGGCUGUCCCUGUUGUCAGUAGCUCAGGUCCAGCACACACUAAGUGGGGGAGGCUUUGUUAUCUUAGAUCUAAGGCUAGUUUUCUCUCUUAGUACUAGACUUGCACAACCCUGGCUCUGAUAGAUGCUCCCGGGAGUCAGGCUGCCUGCAUCUGUCAUGCUAACAGCAAGACCAUCUAGUCUCUAGGAGGACAGGUUACUUUUGUACCAUUCCACUUACUGGGCUAUCUUCCCCAAGGUAAAAAGGCUCCUCUAGGCCAGUUGUUGUCCUGGAUUUGGCAGGCAAAUCCCCUUAGUUGUUCCUGCUUUCCUGACCUAGCAGGGCCUAUGUUAGGCCACAGAUUCACAGCUGACAGUUCAAUUCAGUAUUUGGAAGCUGUACACUCCCUCUGCUCUGCCUGAUCCUCCUCUUUAUUAGCAUCUGUCAUCUUGACUACCUUGUACAUUGUACUUCACUAACCUUCCCCAUUCACCAAAUCAUCAGUCAAAGGGGGCCUGCUAGGAUGGCCACUGAACAGCCUCUGCAGGCAGCACAAGAUCAAAAGUGAGACUCCAUAUCUCAACCCAUGGAAGUAAAGCAGAAAUUAUUUUUAACAGGUGUGACUUGAGAGAAAUGCUGAUUCUAAGAUCUUCAGAAGGAAAUUUUUCCCUUGAAUUACUUUUAAAGGAGUUUAAUUCAAAGUCUCCAAGUACUAAUCUUCAUUUCAAAGAACCUGAAACCCUCCAUUCCUAUAGUAUUAUUAAAGGCAUUGUCACACAGAUUCUGAUAGUGUCUAAAACUAAAAUUAAUUUAAAAUACUUUAGCUAUGCAUGUCAGUUUCAGGAAAGGAACAAACUGACAAAGUGUGAUAUAUGUCCCCCUGUUGUAACUCAGAUUUCCUCAUUUGCUUCUGACCUGGCAUGUAGUAAGGCAGACUUACUCCCUAGGAAGAAAUUAUGAUUUGUGUUAGUUCAUGUUAGUGAAACUGUUGAAUGUAAUUCCAUGAACUGCACUGGGAACAUCAAGGAACUUUAUGACAGAGAAACUUGGUGCUACCUUGAGUUUAGAAUGGGCCACCAUAACUGAUGCUGGGGCAAUUUUCUCAACUAUGUAGCAACUUCCAGAAUAAUCCAUGUUAAAGGGGCACUUCCAUGGUUUUUGUUAUUUGUUUGUUUUGGGGGAGGGGUUGUUUUAUUUUAACUUCCAGAUUUCAGUACUUACUUGUUCAAAUCUGGUGUGUUCAGGAACUACAGACAUCAAGGACAGAGACGCGGACUGUGCAAUGAAACUCACCACGGUGUUUGGGAUCUAGUGGGCCUCCUAGGGUUUAUUCAACCAGUCAGUGAUGGUGGUUCAUGAGGUGAUUUCAACUCCGCUCAGGGGGCAAUUCUCUAAAACUGUGAAGAUGCACCUUAUAAAUAUACAUGUGGGUUUUCUCCACCAUUC